rnacentral:rRNA from 1 species
AAUGAACGCUGGCGGCAUGCCUAACACAUGCAAGUCGAACGAAGGCGUCGGCCUUAGGGGCGCACGGGUGCGUAACGCGUGGGAAUCUGCACUCAGGGUCGGAAUAACAGCGAGAAAUUGCUGCUAAUACCGGAUGAUAUCGCGAGAUCAAAGAUUUAUCGCCUGAGGUGGAGCUCGCGUAGGAUUGGCUAGUUGGUGUGGUAAAGGCGCACCAAGGCGACGAUCCUUAGUUGGUCUGAGAGGAUGAUCAGCCACACUGGGACUGAGACACGGCCCAGACUCCUACGGGAGGCAGCAGUGGGGAAUAUUGGACAAUGGGCGAAAGCCUGAUCCAGCAAUGCCGCGUGAGUGAUGAAGGCCUUAGGGUUGUAAAGCUCUUUUACCCGGGAUGAUAAUGACAGUACCGGGAGAAUAAGCUCCGGCUAACUCCGUGCCAGCCGCCGCAGUAA